CCUACGGGAGGCAGCAGUGAGGAAUAUUGGUCAAUGGGCGCGAGCCUGAACCAGCCAAGUAGCGUGAAGGAUGACUGCCCUACGGGUUGUAAACUUCUUUUAUCAAGGAAUAAAGUGAGGCACGUGUGCCUUUUUCUAUUUACUUUAUGAAUACGGAUCGGCUAACUCCGUGCCAGCAGCCGCGGUAAGACGGAGGAUCCGCGCGUUAUCCGGAUUUCUUGGGUUUACAGGGAGCGUAGAUGGGUUGUUAAGUCAGUUGUGAAAGUUUGCGGCGCAACCGUAAAAUUGCAAUUGAUACUGGCAGUCUUGAGUACAGUUGAGGGAGGCGGAAUUCGUGGUGUAGCGGUGAAAUGCUUAGAUAUCACGAAGAACUCCGAUUGCGAAGGCAGCUUACUAAACUGCCACUGACAUUGAUGCUCGAAAGUGUGGGUAUCAAACAGGAUUAGAGACCCCUGUAGUC
rnacentral:rRNA from 1 species